GCCUGAGAAACGGCUACCACAUCCAAGGAAGGCAGCAGGCACGCAAAUUACCCAAUCUCAGCUCUGGGAGGUAGUGACGAAAAAUAACAAUGCGGGACUCUUCCGAGUCUACGUAAUUGGAAUGAGCACACUUUAAAUCCUUUAGCAACAACCAAUUGGAGGGCAAGUCUGGUGCCAGCAGCCGCGGUAAUUCCAGCUCCAAUAGCGUAUAUUAAAGUUGUUGCGUUUAAAAAGCUCGUAGUUCGAGUUCAGUUCCGGACUGGCCGGGGAGGUCACCGCCCGGUGCUUCCCCGUCAGGCUCCGAACAGCUUUCAUGACUGAAAGCCAAGCCGGUUUCGCCGGGGUGCUCUUCACCGAGUGUCCCGCGCGGCCGGCCAGUUUACCUUGAAUAAAUCAGAGUGCUCAAAGCAGGCUACUCUUAAAAAUAAAGCCCGAAUGUUACCUGCAUGGAAUGAUGGAAGAUGAUCUCGGUUCCAUUUUGUCGGUUCUGGGAAUCCGAGUUAAUGAUAAACAGGGACUGUCGGGGGCAUCCGUACUACGACGCGAGAGGUGAAAUUCAGUGACCGUCGUAGGACGAACAACAGCGAAAGCAUUUGCCAAGAAUGUCUUCGUUGAUCAAGAACGAAAGUUAGAGGAUCGAAGGCGAUCAGAUACCGCCCUAGUUCUAACCCUAAACGAUGCUGACUAGCAAUCCGCCGUCGUUAUUCCCAUGACGUGGCGGGACGCCCCCGGGAAACCUCAAGUCUUUGAGUUCCGGGGGUAGUAUGGUUGCAAAACUGAAACUUAAAGGAAUUGACGGAAGGGCACCACCAGGAGUGGAGCCUGCGGCUUAAUUUGACUCAACACGGGRAACCUCACCAGGCCCGGACACCAGAAGGAUUGACAGAUUAAGAGCUCUUUCUCGAUUUGGUGGGUGGUGGUGCAUGGCCGUUCUUAGUUGGUGGAGUGAUUUGUCUGGUUAAUUCCGGUAACGAACGAGACUCUGGCCUACUAAAUAGUCGACGUGGGUUUUGGUGCAUGGGCCCCGUUCGACAAUGUCUUCUUAGAGGGAUGAGCAGCGAGUAUAGCUGCAGGAGAUUGAGCAAUAACAGGUCUGUGAUGCCCUUAGAUGUCCUGGGCCGCACGCGCGCUACACUGAAUGGGUUAGCGGGUUCUCCUUCUCCGAGAGGAGCGGGAAAUCGCGUGAAAACCAUUCGUGAUAGGGAUUGGGGCUUGCAAUUGUUUCCCAUGAACGAGGAAUUCCCAGUAAGCGCAAGUCAUCAGCUUGCGUUGAUUAAGUCCCUGCCCUUUGUACACACCGCCCGUCGCUACUACCGAUUGAAUGAUUUAGUGAGGCCUUCGGACUGGCGGUCUUGGACUGGGCUCCGCUCGCUACUACUCCAGCAAUGGGGGGCGGCGGACUCGCCAUGACGAGCCGGAAAGAUGUCCAAACUUGAUCAUUUAGAGGAAGUAAAAGUCGUAACAAGGUUUCC
rnacentral:rRNA from 1 species